GACAGAGGGUGCAAGCGUUGUUCGGAAUUACUGGGCGUAAAGCGCGUGUAGGCUGCUCCGCAAGUCGGAUGUGAAAGCCCUGGGCUCAACCCAGGAAGUGCAUUCGAAACUGCAAAGCUGGAGUCCUGGAGAGGAAGGCGGAAUUCUCGGUGUAGAGGUGAAAUUCGUAGAUAUCGAGAGGAACACCGGUGGCGAAGGCGGCCUUCUGGACAGUGACUGACGCUGAGACGCGAAAGCGUGGGGAGCAAACAGG
rnacentral:rRNA from 1 species